CGGCGGACGGGUGAGUAACGCGUGGGUAACCUGCCUCAUACAGGGGGAUAACAGUUGGAAACGGCUGCUAAUACCGCAUAAGCGCACAGUACCGCAUGGUCCGGUGUGAAAAACUCCGGUGGUAUAAGAUGGACCCGCGUUGGAUUAGCUAGUUGGCAGGGUAACGGCCUACCAAGGCGACGAUCCAUAGCCGGCCUGAGAGGGUGAACGGCCACAUUGGGACUGAGACACGGCCCAG
rnacentral:rRNA from 1 species